CCUACGGGGAGCAGCAGUGGGGAAUAUUGGACAAUGGGCGAAAGCCUGAUCCAGCCAUGCCGCGUGUGGGAAGAAGGCCUUCGGGUUGUAAAGCACUUUCAGUGGGGAAGAAAGCCUUGGGGCUAAUACCCUCGAGGAAGGACAUCACCCACAGAAGAAGCACCGGCUAACUCCGUGCCAGCAGCCGCGGUAAUACGGAGGGUGCGAGCGUUAAUCGGAAUUACUGGGCGUAAAGCGCGCGUAGGCGGUCUGAUAAGCCGGUUGUGAAAGCCCCGGGCUCAACCUGGGAACGGCAUCCGGAACUGUCAGGCUAGAGUGCAGGAGAGGAAGGUAGAAUUCCCGGUGUAGCGGUGAAAUGCGUAGAGAUCGGGAGGAAUACCAGUGGCGAAGGCGGCCUUCUGGACUGACACUGACGCUGAGGUGCGAAAGCGUGGGUAGCAAACAGGAUUAGAUAUCCUAGUAGUC
rnacentral:rRNA from 1 species